rnacentral:rRNA from 1 species
UGCCUCCUACGGGGCGCAGCAGUGAGGAAUAUUGGUCAAUGGCCGAGAGGCUGAACCAGCCAAGUCGCGUGAGGGAUGACGGCCCUACGGGUUGUAAACCUCUUUUGUCGGGGAGCAAGACCCGCCUCGUGCAGGCGGAGCGAGAGUACCCGAAGAAAAAGCAUCGGCUAACUCCGUGCCAGCAGCCGCGGGAAUACGGAGGAUGCGAGCGUUAUCCGGGUGUAUUGGGUUUAAAG